rnacentral:rRNA from 1 species
AAUCAACGCUGGCGGCGUGCCUAACACAUGCAAGUCGAACGCGAAAGGGGAGCAAUCCCUGAGUAGAGUGGCAAACGGGUGAGUAACACGUGGGUGACCUGCCUUCGAGUGGGGAUAACGUCCCGAAAGGGACGCUAAUACCGCAUGACAUCCUGCUCUUGGAAGAGCGGAGAUCAAAGCUGGGGAUCGCAAGACCUGGCGCUUGAAGAGGGCCCGCGCCUGAUUAGCUAGUUGGUAGGGUAAUGGCCUACCAAGGCAACGAUCAGUAUCCGGCCUGAGAGGGCGGACGGACACACUGGGACUGAGACACGGCCCAGACUCCUACGGGAGGCAGCAGUGGGGAAAUUGUUCGCAAUGGGCGCAAGCCUGACGACGCAACGCCGCGUGGAGGACGAAGAUCUUCGGGUCGUAAACUCCUGUCGAGUGGGAAGAAUGGAUCAGGGUGAAU